rnacentral:ncRNA from 1 species
GUGCUGUAUGAAGGGAAGAAGGUUGGCAUUCCCUUGACAGGGAUGGAAGAGGCCUCGGCCUGACAACACACAGAGGGUAAGGUGCUCCCACCUACUUCUGGCAUCUAACCCUCGUUUUUAA